AUGUCCACCUCAUCAGAGGUACGACAAAAAUUAUCGCGUUUAGCGAUUGGGUGGGACAGGAAAAAGGAGAUCAGGGGUCAUGCCAAAAUCUAUUCUUUCUGCCUUCCUUCACACGCAGCCUUCUUCCUCUCCUCUCCCCCAGAAACGCCGCCGCCGCCUGCGACUCAGCCUGCCCUACUCUGCCCGCCGUCUUCGGUCUGCUUUGCCGUGGCGACCGUGUGCCGAUCUGGCCGCCCCGCGGCCGGGCACAAUCUGGAUGACCAGCGGGCGGUGGUGCACGGUCUGGGCGGCGGCGACCUGCGCGGCCCUGGUGCUGCACCGGCGCCUCCUUCCUCAGUCGCCCAGAGAACUAGCACGGGGCUCGUUGCUGUGCCUGAGUCGCCACAAGGACCUCGGGUGGAGGGGAUCUGGAAGUUGCUGCAUGUAGAAACGGCGAAACAUGGAACUCUAGAUAGAAGUAUUCCUCAAUACCAGGGCAUCUAUGUGGCAUCAUCUAUCCCUUCUGCGGCUGAUGGCCGUGUCUCCCAUAAACUAUGCCCAAGAGUACUUUGUAGUGUCAGUGAUUUACAAGGGCGAUGCUUUGGUGCUAUUGUUCAUCGUUUCCAUGUCUCCAAAGAGGUGCCUUCAUUUUCUCUUUAUAUCGGCUACAUGUUUAUGGUCGAUGGGGAGAUGGCCCCGCCUCUGAUGCAGCUGGAGACGCUGCUAGCACUCAACAUGGACCAGCGCAUGGCGGAGAACCAAGCUAUAGAGGACGGAGGCUUCUUCUUGUGUCCGUGCGAAAGUGAAGCUGUACCGAUUGGCAGUGGAAGGAGCGGGGAACGGGUACAUGAAGCUUGGAUGCAUUCUGAUUCUCUCAAAUCUAAUGGCAAAAGUUCAUUGUUUACUGAAGAGGCAGAUGCGCUAACGGUGACGAUCAGUACAAAGGACAACUCAGCCGUGAACAUUAAAAGAGCAAACAAGAUUCUCGUUUUGGAGUCUGAGCCGCUUUUGGUGAAGCUGCAUCCUAAGCCUGACAAGUUCCUGAUUGGUAGAUUCUACUAA
rnacentral:rRNA from 1 species